CUUUGCUGGCCAUGAGACCACUGCCAUUGCAGCAUCAUGGAGCUUGAUGUUACUAGCUGCACAUCCAUAUUGGCAAGCUCGUGCUCGUGCUGAGGUGCUCGAAAUCUGCGGGGAUAAUCCUCUAGACGGAGAUAUGCUUCGAAACAUGAAAGUGGUAUGUCACAUAAGAAAUUAUCGCUUAUAAAGAUAAAUUUGUAUACUAAUUAAGACAAAAUGCAUAGCAUAAACAAAUGAAGAAUUGAUCAAAUGGCCUCAAAUUAAUGCUAUAAAUUUUAUGGACACAAGGAAUUUGAUUGCCACCUUACAAUUAUCUGCAGCUCAAAAUGGUGAUUCAGGAGGUGUUGCGUCUUUACCCGCCUGCAUUCUUUGUAACUAGAGAGGCCUUUGAAACUGUCACACUCAAGAACAUUGUGAUUCCAAAGGGUGUGAUCCUUCAAAUACCAAUCCCC
rnacentral:lncRNA from 1 species